rnacentral:rRNA from 1 species
GUUAGGGGUUUCGAUACCCUUGGUGCCGAAGUUAACACAUUAAGCAUUCCGCCUGGGGAGUACGGUCGCAAGACUGAAACUCAAAGGAAUUGACGGGGACCCGCACAAGCAGUGGAGUAUGUGGUUUAAUUCGAAGCAACGCGAAGAACCUUACCAGGUCUUGACAUCCCUUUGACCGGUCUAGAGAUAGACCUUUCCUUCGGGACAGAGGAGACAGGUGGUGCAUGGUUGUCGUCAGCUCGUGUCGUGAGAUGUUGGGUUAAGUCCCGCAACGAGCGCAACCCUUAUGCUUAGUUGCCAGCAGGUCAAGCUGGGCACUCUAAGCAGACUGCCGGUGACAAACCGGAGGAAGGUGGGGAUGACGUCAAAUCAUCAUGCCCCUUAUGACCUGGGCUACACACGUACUACAAUGGCCGGUACAACGGGAAGCGAAG